UUUUUUUUUUCUCCUAUUGAUGUGUCUCCUUUACUGAGGAAAACAUUUACAAUUGCUGCCAAACUCCCAGUGUUCCACUCUGUCUACCCUCUCUCCUACCCUGCUUUUACCCCCAGCCUGGAGUCCACUUGGGUGGAAAGGCAGCGUAUAAUGGGCCCAGAGUUAAUCAUCUGCAGGUUUCCCCUGAUAAGUCACAGUAUGUUUGCUGCGCUCCUUCCAAGAGUCAACAGCAGCUGUGGGGAUGUGCCGAGAGUAGCCUAUGGCAUUCAGAGCACUGGCCCAGAUGGGAGGCAGUGUGCUGGGGAGCCUAUCUGAACAGUACCAUCUGGAGUGCCUCUGUUGCCCUGAAGGCACUUGUCUGCGUCUCCAAUGGACACAGCUUAGAGAUGCCAAAAAACGAGCCAAGUUCGCUGGAUGGACAAAUGGCCUGACGUCAGUGGAAUUUGCUCAUAAUUUGGGCCUCAUGUGUGAUGUACUGUCUGAACUCAAAGAGCUAUCAAAACAAUCAGGGCAGAAAAGGAGAAGCAAGAAGAAAAAGUGGAGGAAAAGGAGGAGGAAGAGAAGGAAGAGGCACAAGAACAAGUAGACAAGAAGAAGGAAGAUGACAUUAGGACAUGGCCAAGAGCUGUGGCAGGACAGGUUCAGCUUUGACUCCUGGGGCCAACGGUCCCUGUAAGUUUGUUGAAGGCAUCAGUGCCAAAUAAAACAUGGCCUUUUAAAGCACUGAAUUACGUGAGUGUAGAGCUGUUAAAAUCAGUGUAGCAAAAAUCCAGCUGGGUUUGGCCAGUGCCACAAAGUACAAAAUGAUGAUCACUUGUUCUGCCAAGAACCAAGGUUCCCCAGACGUGGUGGCCUGAGCAGAAUUAUUUGAAUAUAUGUCCAUUGUUUAAAACAAGGAAUUUGCUAUUAAGAAAUAGACAUCUGUUGUUGUUGUUUUUUCCCCCUUGCUCUGGGUCCAGAGGCAGAUUUAUUGGGAAACUACAGAGCCUUUCACUUGCAUGGGUCUGGUCCUUGUAAGUGCUGGGAGGCUCUAGGAGUUACAGAUUGUUCCAGAUAAGGAGAGGAAGGCACGUUACAAUCAAGAAGACUUUAAAUAUAAGCAUUUCUGGUAAAUUGCCUAAACAGACCUUAGCAGAAAAGAACCAAAUCUCCAAGAUUUCAGUAAUUUGUUGUGAAUUUCUCAUUCUAAACAAAAUUCAUUUGCAUAUUUAUUUUUAAAUUUGUAAUUCUCUAUUAUUUUUAUUAAUGAGAGGCCAAAUAUUAUAAGGCUUCAGGCCCCACAAAACCCUAAUCUGUCUCUGUGAGCGUCCCUUGCUUUUCUACUGGUCAUCACAUCUUAAUUUCCUUUUGUGAAAAGUCCCUACUACUCACUAGGUGGGAAGCAUGGAACCCAGACCUAGCCAAAAAGAGAGGAAAUGACUGGUUUUGGAAUGAGCAUGUGAUCCAAUUUGGGCCAAUGAGAAUCAGAGCCAAGAGUUUCUACUGUGCAGCAGAAAUGGAUCUGAUUAGUAUCCAUGAGGAUUCUAGUUCCAUCCUGGCCUCACUCAGUGGGUUGGGGAUCUGGCAUUGUUGCUGAGCUGUGGUGUAGGUUGAAAACACCUGCAUUGCUGUGGCUGUGGUGUAGGCUGGCAGCUGCAGCUCCAAUUCAAUCCCCAGCCUGGGAACUUCCAUAUGCCACAGGUGCAGCACUGAAGAGCAAAGAAAAAAAAAAAAAAAAGAGAGAGAGAGAGAGAGAGAAAGAGAGACAGAGAGAAAAUUGGGGCCAGACUUUUCACUGGAUCUCUGCCACAGUUGUUAAGUUGCAGGAGUGAAAGUUUGACAUUACAGUUUUGCUUCUACAAAAGGAAACUACCUGAGAAUAAAAGUAGCAUAGCUGAAAGCAGAGCUGAGAGAUUAAAAAUAAGCCAAAUUCUCAUAAGGUCACUUUUUGCCCCUGAAACCAGCUAUAUUGAAGCUGGUAAACAGAAUCCCGGGCUUUUCAGAUAGACAGGUCGAUUAAGCUCUCUUUUUCGCUUAAGCUAGUAUGAGCUGGGUUUUUGUCAUGUGCAACUGAUUGAGUCUUGACUAAUACAGGUCCCACUGUGCUAGGGAAAAAACCUAUUAUUUCAGUUCAGAAGAUGGUUUUUUAUUGCAUUUGCCUCUUCCCGCCAGCAACUGUAUUGAGAUGUAAUUGACAUAUAACAUUGUAUAAGUUUAAAUUAUACAACCUGAUUUGAUACAUGUUAUCUAUUGUGAAAUGAUUACCACAAUAAGGUUAGUUAACACAUCCAUCACUCACAUUACAAUUUUUCAUAUUUGCCUCUUAAUAGUUAUAAUAAUAGAUAUGCUUAUUGAGCACUCUUAUUAAGGGCUUAUGUAACCCAUUGUAGCCUACAAGCAACCUUGUGAGGUGUGCACUAUUACUAUUACACCCAUUAUACCAAAGAGGAAAUUCAUGCACUAAGAAGUUAAAGUAACUUGUCCAAUUGGUCAAGUAUCGCCAAAACAAGUAUCUCAGACUUGAAGCCAGGUUGACCCUGUCCUUCCGGAUUUUUUCAGCAAAUAUUUAUUGAGCACCUACUAGGCACUGAGGAUUUAGGGAUGAAUAUGACACAGUUCUUUCUAAAAGCUAAGUAUUGGAAGGAGGUUGGAUGGGAGACAAGGUCAAUAGUUCUCAUGAAUGGACUGACUUGGAAUCACAUUAGAGGGAGAUGCCAACUCAUGGGAGGGAGUGAGGAAGCUCAUUAAUGAAAAACUGUGGAUGAGGUGACAAGGAAAACUGGUCUUGAGGUGCCAACAGGAAUUCCCCGGCAGAGAAGAGACAAGAGCAUUCCAAGCGGAUGGAACAGUUUGUUCAAGGCUAGAAACGCAAUAAAGGACAUGACUUGUCUGGGAAAUAGCAAGAAUUUUGGUGUGGCAAUGAUGAUUUUUGAGAGAGAAAUCUUAAAAAAAUGGGUAGAGUCCAGCUCACAAAUUCUAUGUGUGCUGCGAUAAGGAAUCUGUGCACCCUGUAUUCAUAGAGAGUCACUGAAAGACCUCAAAGAGUGAUAUUACAUUAGUAUUUCAGACAGAUCACAUUGAAAACAGUGUCACUCCCUUGUAGUAAUCAGGCCCUUCCUUCCAGCCUGCUCUUUGAAUUUGAGGUUCUUCAGAUGGCUCUAAUUUUUAGCCUCCGUGAUUGCUUGUUGUAUUUUCCUCUUUCUUCCCUCAGUAAGCAACCAACAUGUCCUGAUGAUCCCUUUUACCUAUCAGCCAGCAUUCCCUCAGAGAAGUAAUUUGCAACCAUGUAUGGUUGUAUACAUUAGUGGAAGAGAUAUAUCACUCUCAAUAAAAGGAUAUUUUCAGGAGUUCCCGUCAUGGCGCAGUGGUUAACGAAUCCAACUAGGAACCAUGAGGUUGCAGGUUCCAUCCCUGGCCUUGCUCAGUGGGUUAAAGAUCUGGUGUUGCCGUGAGCUGUGGUGUAGGUUGCAGACGCAGCUCAGAUCCCGAGUUGCUGUGGCUCUGGCAUAGGCUGGUGUCUACAGCUCUGGUUAGACCCCUAGCCUGGGAACCUCCAUAUGUCAUGGGAGCGGCCCUAGAAAAGGCAAAAAGACAAAAAAAAAAAAAAGAGAGAGAGAGAGAGAGAAAGAAAAAUGGGGAUCUGGCCAUGGGAACCCUAAUGAGUAUCUCUCUCAAUUCUGCGGUUGCUAUUAAAACACUACAAAAUCUGCAUUGCUAUAUUAAUAAUGAUACCCUCUGUAGAUGGUUGAAUGGUGACUCCCCAGAAGUUAUGCCCACAUCCUUACAUUUGGACCCCAUGAAUGUUACUUUUUUUUGUUUGUUUAUGUCUGCACCUACGGCAUACGGAAGUUCCCGUGCCAGGAACUGAAAUCUAACUACGGCACAGUUGUGGCAACACCAGAUCCUUUAACUCACUGCGCCAGGCCUGUGAUCGAACCUGCACCUCUGGAGCAACCCAAGCUGCUGCAGAUGGAUUCUUAACCCACUGUGCCACAGAGGGAACUCCAAUGUUACCUUAUUUUGAAAUAGUGUUUGCAGCUGUAAUUAAGUUAAGGAUUUUGAGGAGUUCCUAUCAUGGCUCAGUGGAAAUUAAUCUGACUGGUAACCAUAAGGACACAGGUUCAAUCCCUGGCCUCACUCAGUGGGUUAAAGAUCCCAUGUUGCUAUGAACUGUGGUGUAGGUCACAGACAUGGCUACGAUUCUGCAUUGCUGUGGCUGUGGCAUAGGCUGGUGGCUACAGCUCCAAUUCAAUCCCUGGCCUGGGAACCUCCAUAUGUCGUGGGUGUGGCCCUAAAAAAAAAAUUUAAGGAUUUUGAGAUGAGAUCACCCUGGAUUAUUUAGGUGGACUGUAAAUCCAGUGAUAAAUGUCCUAAUGAG
rnacentral:lncRNA from 1 species